GUGAAGACAUUUUCAGUCUGAGUAUAUCUAGUCUGAUUGAUUGCGAAUGACUCGGCCAACUCUUCGAUUUGCAGCAGUCUUAGUCCUCCUCGAUCCCCUUCCCCCCUCGCUCUAUCUCUCUCUUCAAUGGUUUCUUGUAUAAACCUGGCUUGAUUCUGCACUCUCCAACUUGAUUGUGGCGUAGGAUUAUUUUCAGUUCUUGAGGUUGAAUUGAUGGUGGAAGGGCUUUUCGGCGGCUUGAAUUUUUAGCCUUUAGCUUUCAAGGAUAACCUUGAUUCCUCACCAAUCGGCCUGAAGGUCUUCGGACAUGACACGAAGUUAAGGAUUAUUGGGUGUUUCUUAAAGGAAUGUCGUGAUUAUUCUUGUCGAGCCAGGAAUUUGGGUCGGCAGUAUCAACUGUUGAAGGGGAGGAA
rnacentral:lncRNA from 1 species